UUGGAGGGCAAGUCUGGUGCCAGCAGCCGCGGUAAUUCCAGCUCCAAUAGCGUAUAUUAAAGUUGUUGCAGUUAAAAAGCUCGUAGUUGAAUUUCGGGGUUAGUAGGUUGGUCAUGCCUCUGGUAUGUACUGGUCUCACUGAUUCCUCCUUCCUGAUGAGCCGUAAUGCCAUUAAUUUGGUGUUGCGGGGAAUUCGGACUGUUACUUUGAAAAAAUUAGAGUGUUUAAAGCAGGCUCGCGCUUGAAUACAUUAGCAUGGAAUAAUGAAAUAGGACGUUUGAUUCUAUUUUGUUGGUUUCUAGGAUCGACGUAAUGAUUAAUGGGGAUAGUUGGGGGCAUUAGUAUUCAAUUGUCAGAGGUGAAAUUCUUGGAUUUAUUGAAGACUAACUACUGCGAAAGCAUUUGCCAAGGAUGUUUUCAUUAAUCAAGAACGAAAGUUAGGGGAUCGAAGACGAUCAGAUACCGUCGUAGUCUUAACCAUAAACUAUGCCGACUAGGGAUCGGAUGAUGUUAAUUUUUUAAUGACUCAUUCGGCGCCUUACGGGAAAC
rnacentral:rRNA from 1 species